AUGUUGGUCUGUAUGCAGUAUGUGACACACGUUGGUAUGUAUGCAGUAUGUGACAGAUGUUGGUUUUUAUACAGUAUGUGACACAUGUUGGUCUGUAUGCAAUAUGUGACACAUGUUGGUCUGUAUGCAGUAUGUGACACAUGCUGGACUAUGAUGUAGGUGACAGAU